GUAGGUGGCAAGCGUUGUCCGGAAUUAUUGGGCGUAAAGCGCGCGCGAGGCGGUUUCUUUAAGUCUGAUGUAGAAACGCCCACGGCUCAACCGUGGAGGGUCAUUAGGAAACUGGAGAACUUGAGUACAGAAGAGGAAAGCGGAAUUCCACGUGUAGCGGUAGAAAUGCGUAGAGAUGUGGAGGAACACCAGUGGCGAAGGCGGCUUUCUGGUCUGUAACUGACGCUGAGGCGCGAAAGCGUGGGGAGCAAACAGGAUUAGAUACCCUGGUAGUCCACGCCGUAAACGAUGAGUGCUAAGUGUUAGGGGGUUUCCGCCCCCCUUAGUGCUGCGGCUAACGCAUUAAGCACUCCGCCUGGGGAUACGGCCGCAAGGCUG
rnacentral:rRNA from 1 species